AGUAAACCAUAGCAGGAAGAGAUUAGCAUUUCUGCCUCCAAGAUGGGAGAAUAUGGAGGAGAAUAUCAAUGACUUCUGAAAAAGAAAACAUUAGCAGCCAAAUUAGCCAGUCUGCCUGUGGAAUGAAGGCUCCAGUUUUUGACCUCUAAUGAAAGAAGAAAGACUACUCAUUGAGGUUUGUGUUGACACUCUCAACUCCAUACCAGUUAUGUAUUUUGAUUAAGGCCUUUAACUCUCUCUAAUCC
rnacentral:lncRNA from 1 species